UACGUAGGGUGCAAGCGUUAUCCGGAAUCAUUGGGCGUAAAGGGUGCGUAGGCGGCGCGGUAAGUCGGGUGUGAAAUCUCGGAGCUUAACUCCGAAACUGCAUUCGAUACUGCCGUGCUUGAGGACUGGAGAGGAGACUGGAAUUUACGGUGUAGCGGUGAAAUGCGUAGAUAUCGUAAGGAAGACCAGUGGCGAAGGCGGGUCUCGUGGACAGUUCCUGACGCUGAGGCACGAAGGUCAGGGGAGCAAACGGG
rnacentral:rRNA from 1 species